AUGUGUUUUACCAAAUCCGGAUUCCAGAUUCCAGAUUCCAGAUUCCAAGGCCUUCUCUUAGAGCGUUUCAAAGUUCCAAGGAGCUUCAAGAGCCCAGGCAAUGCUUACACCCUAAAGAUUGAAUGUGGUAAAAGAGUAGUGCAAUGUGUGGAAUUACCAGCCUUUAGGCAUCGAAGUUCCGAAGGAGCUCUAGGGUCCCUAAACAUGGCUUACAAGAUGGGGGUAGAACUUAAGAGCUAGGAGUAAGUGUAAAGUGAGGGAGGAACCUUAGCAGGAGGUGGUCAUACCCAGCCAUGGCAUAGACUGGCACACCCAUAACCUCUUGCUCAGAUUCAAACAAAUAAGAGCAGACUCUUAUAGAGUCAAACUCAGGUCUGAAUAGUGAUCAGGACACCAACAGACCCAAAUUAGAGCUCAGCAAAUUGAGG
rnacentral:lncRNA from 1 species